GACGAACGCUGGCGGCGUGCUUAACACAUGCAAGUCGAACGGAAAGGCCCUGCUUUUGUGGGGUGCUCGAGUGGCGAACGGGUGAGUAACACGUGAGUAACCUGCCCUUGACUUUGGGAUAACUUCAGGAAACUGGGGCUAAUACCGGAUAGGAGCUCCUGCUGCAAGGUGGGGGUUGGAAAGUUUCGGCGGUUGGGGAUGGACUCGCGGCUUAUCAGCUUGUUGGUGGGGUAGUGGCUUACCAAGGCUUUGACGGGUAGCCGGCCUGAGAGGGUGACCGGCCACAUUGGGACUGAGAUACGGCCCAGACUCCUACGGGCGGCAGCAGUGGGGAAUAUUGCACAAUGGGCGGAAGCCUGAUGCAGCAACGCCGCGUGCGGGAUGCCGUCCUUCUGGUUGUAAACCGCUUUCGCCUGUGACGAAGCGUGAGUGACGGUACUUGGUAAAGAAGCCCCGGCUAACUACGUG
rnacentral:rRNA from 1 species